rnacentral:tRNA from 1 species
GCCGAGGUAGCUCAGUUGGGAGAGCGUUAGACUGAAGAUCUAAAGGUCCCUGGUUCGAUCCCGGGUCUCGGCG